UCAUGGCCACCGGUUUGCGGCGGCGACGCACGAGGGUCGUAAAGAAGGCGCGCUGCCUGCUUUCUGGCAGCCUCCCGCGCGGGGCGCGCCGGGCCGCUCCGCCAUUCCCGCCCGGACUCAGGAGACUUGGCAGGUGAGGACCUGGUCGCGACGUCGGGCUCCGGCGAGGCCCGGGGCCCCAGGACCCCAUCAGGGCGGAAGGGGAGACUGAUCUCCUCCCAGACAGCUCUCAGAGGUCUCACAGGUUGAAUCAACACUGCCAAGCUAUCUUCUCCAGGGAAGCCCUGAGCAUUUCACUUGAGCAUCUCAACUUUUAUACUGGUUUAGCAGUGCCCCCUCCCCGCAAAUGCAUUUCCACCUGGAGUCCAUGAAUGUGACGAGAAAUACGGUCUUUGCUGCUGCAAUCCUGAUGAAGUCAUACUGAAUUAUGGUGGGUCCUAAAUCGAAUAUGACUGGCAUCCUUAUAGAAGAGGAAAAUUUAUACAGACACACAGGGGAGAUGGCUAUGUGAAGACAGAUUGGAGCGACACACUACAAGCCAAGGAAGCUACGGAUUGCCGGCAACACCCGGAAGCUAGAAGGAGGUGAGGAAAGAUUUCCCCGCUAGAGCCUUCAGGGAGAGCAUAGCUCUGCCGACACCUUGACUUCACACUUCUAGCCUCCAGAAGUGUGACUGGGGAGCAGAAAACCUGGAGAUGGUCAUGCCCAGAGACCCACCUGGAAGAUUUCACAAGCAUGGUUGUCCGUGAUCAGUAUCAGUGGCAGCGCUCACACUGGUCAGUGUGCUAACUGUCCUCUAUACGUGUCUCUCGCAUCUGCCAGCACUGGGGCACAGAGACCAAGAUGAGCUCAUCUUUUGAAUGCGGACUGCCUUAAAAGAGUCCACACUAUCCCACACACAAUGGAGUCAGAGAUAGAAUACCACUGAAAGUAGAAAUCCAGAGACUCAUUUGAUUUUUGUCACUGAAAAGUGAACUCGUCAGCCAUUAUUCACUUCUGGUAUGCCCAAAUCUUGCUGGUGUCCUUUGUUGUUGUUUUUUUUCUUCUACAUCAGACCUAUAGUGUUUUUCAGUUAAUUGCUCACAUACGGCAAACACUAUGUUUGGAUAUAUCUGAUCCAAGGUUGAAUAAGAAUGUCAUUGCUUCCCUGUCCACAUUUUUCUCAGGAACAGAUGUCCCCUAGUUUUCAGGUGGAGGUUAUGUCCUCUAUGCUGUGGUUGGGGGUAGAUCAAAGCUAUCAGUAGUUGGGGAACAAAGCCACUUCCCUCCCACUCCCGGUCAUUCUCCACUGACUCUUUCCUGAUGCAUGGAGUGAUAUUAAAUGCAUCCCAAACACUGCUGCAAGCUCCUCAUAACUGUGAAAGAAGACAACCACUCUUUAGUAUGAUACAACAUGACUAAUACGGGUAAGCAUUAAUGUGAAAUUUGACAUCUAGAAGGGUGCCAGGAUGGUAAUUCUGAUAGCCUUUUCCUGCAAAUGAGAGGCCUCUCAAUAUGACCUAAUGGAGACACAGCAGGUCAUCUUCUAGAACAAGCUCAGAAGACCGACUAGCUCUACCUGGGGCUUUGCACUGAACUCAUCUGUGCACGGGUAAGCAUCAGAGGAUUGCUAUGAAAAACAAAUGGAACAAAAUGCACGUACGACAUUUCUCUCAGUGCCUGGCUCAAACAGUGUUAGCUUCAGCUGUACCAAGAUCCCGCUCUUCUGCUGAGAAGAGAUGAGAAGGAUGUUUCUGCUAUACUCUUGCUUGAAAGGGUCACAGAUUUGUUUGAAUCAAAGAAGAGAGGUGGCAGAAUUCUUUAUAUGUGAACAACUGUGCUUUAACCACCAACAGAUUCCAGACACUUUAGUCACAACUGUGAGGGCACGGAGUCAUUCCUCAGGACCA